GGCCGAGCGGGAGGCUGACCGACAGAGGAUGGCGAGCAUGUUCGCGUACAUUCAGAGUCUUGGCGCCGCGACGGGUCUACCUCCGCCACCUCCCUUCGUCACCCCACCUAGACCACCCACCGAUCCGUUUUCUACUUCAAAUCAGUCGGCGGCCUCCAAUGAUCCGUAUAUUUCUCCAAAUCAGACCAACCGGAACAACUGUCCACCUUCGGCAUAGAUGAUGGAGUUAUUUGCAUUUGAGACUUAGCUAGAUUGAAUGUACUUUGAUUGUCCAUUGUGUACUUUGUGACAUACUUGGCUACAGCGAAUGUGCCUACAAAGUUUGAGCCCCAUUGGAUUAAUUCUUGACAUCA